rnacentral:rRNA from 1 species
CUCCUACGGGAGGCAGCAGUAGGGAAUCUUCGGCAAUGGACGAAAGUCUGACCGAGCAACGCCGCGUGAAUGAAGAAGGCUUUCGGGUCGUAAAAUUCUGUUAUAAGGGAAGAAAAGUUAGAGUAGGAAAUGGCUCUAAAGUGACGGUACCUUAUGAGAAAGCCACGGCUAACUACGUGCCAGCAGCCGCGGUAAUACGUAGGUGGCAAGCGUUAUCCGGAAUUAUUGGGCGUAAAGAGCGCGCAGGUGGUUGAUUAAGUCUGAUGUGAAAGCCCACGGCUUAACCGUGGAGGGUCAUUGGAAACUGGUCAACUUGAGUGCAGAAGAGGGAAGUGGAAUUCCAUGUGUAGCGGUGAAAUGCGUAGAGAUAUGGAGGAACACCAGUGGCGAAGGCGGCUUCCUGGUCUGUAACUGACACUGAGGCGCGAAAGCGUGGGGAGCAAACAGGAUUAGAUACCCUGGUAGUCCACGCUGUAAACGAUGUCGACUUGGAGGUUGUGCCCUUGAGGCGUGGCUUCCGGAGCUAACGCGUUAAGUCGACCGCCUGGGGAGUACGGCCGCAAGGUUAAAACUCAAAUGAAUUGACGGGGGCCCGCACAAGCGGUGGAGCAUGUGGUUUAAUUCGAUGCAACGCGAAGAACCUUACCUACUCUUGACAUCCAGAGAAUUCGCUAGAGAUAGCUUAGUGCCUUCGGGAACUCUGAGACAGGUGCUGCAUGGCUGUCGUCAGCUCGUGUUGUGAAAUGUUGGGUUAAGUCCCGCAACGAGCGCAACCCUUAUCCUUUGUUGCCAGCGCGUAAUGGUGGGAACUCAAAGGAGACUGCCGGUGAUAAACCGGAGGAAGGUGGGGAUGACGUCAAGUCAUCAUGGCCCUUACGAGUAGGGCUACACACGUGCUACAAUGGCGUAUACAAAGAGAAGCGAACUCGCGAGAGCAAGCGGACCUCAUAAAGUACGUCGUAGUCCGGAUCGGAGUCUGCAACUCGACUCCGUGAAGUCGGAAUCGCUAGUAAUCGUAGAUCAGAAUGCUACGGUGAAUACGUUCCCGGGCCUUGUACACACCGCCCGU